AAAAAUCCCCACUCGACUCCCAGCCCCGUCAGGAACCAAGUACUCACUCCCGAAACCCUAUCGCUUCUCCCCUUUGCCCACUACCGUUGCCGCCGCCGCCACUUCGACUCGUUCCGUCGCAGUGCUCCCUUCCCCUCCCCGCUUCCCACCCCUCCACCCGCCCUCGCCUUCUCCCACCGCCGCGCGGCCAGGCGCGCGCGCGCAGCGAGUGCUCUCUACCCUCCCCAGCCCCUGCGCGCGCGCGCAGCGAGUCCUCUCUACCCUCCCCAGCCCCUGCGCGCCGACUCACUUGACUGCGUCGGCACCGGCUUGGACAUCGAGUGCUUCGUCGCCGCCGGCGCCGAGGAUGCUGCUCCCCUCUUCCUCACGCGCUCGCCUGCCGCGUUCAAGGUUGGGGAUGGGGAGGGAGACACAGCAUUCUCCGCCUCCCGGCCUCCCCAACUGCUGCAGGGAAGAAGAUCUGGGAGUGGGCUUCUCUGAUGACUAGAUCUCGUUGCUGCUCAUCUUCCUCGCCGCGGCGCGCGGCAGGUAGCAGCCCCAUGGCUGGGAGGCCUGGCUCAUCGACGCCGCUGCCUCCUUCCAGCCUCUCAAUGCAGUGUACUAGUUCAUAGUGGCGGAGUGUUCAUGGAGGACACUACUAUGCCUUGAUUCGCCUGAUGCUGUUUGAUCAAUGGACAGCAAAUUGAUAGUUUUGGGACUCUUGUAGCAAGUGUAGUUUGCCAUCUCUUCGCUUGAUCAGCCUGACGGUGGAGCUGUGGAGGAGGCGCAGGCGUGCUACGAAGAUGGAGGGCACACGGAUUGGGGCGUCCAGCACCAUCGUUGUGGCCUUCCUUGAUCCUUCUCAGGCCCGAUGUGAUCUGAGGAAUAGCUUGCACUUCCCCGAGUAACCACCCUUCGGGAUUAGGCGGGUGCACUACGUCAUCUGGCUGUGGCCCUCCUCCUUGGAGUUCCAAAGGAUCCCACAACAUCUCCCUCGGAGUGAUUUCACCAUCCAAGUCAGUCCAGGCCUUCCAAGCUCCUUGUAGAUUUAAUCCAGUUGUGUUUCACGGGCUAGGUUGGUUUGACUGAUUUGUAGAUCGCAGCUUGUUCUGUGGGCUCAGUUCCUACUUGUUUGUCUAUUAAGAUACUUAGAAUUUAGGGGAGUUUUGCUUGAGCAUUGCUGUUUGGAUCCCUUCGAUUGAUUUGUAGUAGGUGAUUCUAGGUUUAAAGUGCCAGUGUAUACAUUAAUAAGAUGGAGACUAGAAGUGCCUAGUUUAGAAUGAAAAGAAAAUUGUCUAGACAGUGCAUAGUGCAUUAAAUCAGGUGAUUGCCAAUGGUGGCGCCAUGUGAGGUCUGCAUGUGAUAGUUAUAGGCUUUGUCCUUGAAUAUAUGAUGAUUAAUCAUGCUUUGUUGGAUACGAAUGGGACAAAGGGACUAUCAGUACUUCAUAUCUUAAACUAUCAAAGAACUGAAUUGAAAUUUGCAUGAUUCUCUGCAGGCGAUUUGAUAUGGGAUUUUACUAGAAAGAAAAGCAGCUCUGUUUGAUAUUGUGUAUUCAAAGUGCCUGAUGAUUUUUUUAUGUUGCCUGACAUUUGUGUUCUAAUUAAGAUGCCUGAUGAUGUUUAUUAUUUUUCCUAAACCACAUAUCUGAUGAUGAAUGAGGCUUGAUGAAUGCUUUGUGCUUGCUAGUAAAUCGAAUGAUUGCUUGUGCUAUUUUUAAGCAGCUUUCAGAAUUGGGCUUUAUCUGUCCUGGCCUUUUUACCUCUCACCUAUUUGAGAUAAAGUGCUCUGCUUCAAUGUGGAGGUAGUAUUUAUUCAUGGGAGUUUUAUAUGUUGAGAAAAGCAGCUCCUCCUUAGAAUAAUAUGCUUUGCACCACAUCAGACUUUGAACCAUAUUUUUGUACAUAUGAAUACUCAAUCAGGCUUGCUUAAUCAAUAUAUUUCUGUAGCAGUUAAAAUGAGGAUAACAUGCUCCAAUGUUUGUACUACCGGAUUAUUUAUCUCAGUAGCUUUUCACUACUUUUAUGAAAGAAUUUGUGGUCAUCUCUUCGCCAUAGAUUUUUUUACUCAUGAUCACUGGUCUGCAGACAUUCCGUGAAAUAUAGAGACUACUAAGCAAAACUAAUGGCAAAGUCAUUGGUGAUGUUAUGACAACUUCGUCUCUUGCGGUGCGUGAAAAUACUAAUCUUGAUGCUGCCACAAGGUUGCUACUUGAAACCAAAUACCGGAGAUUACUGUAUAGUUGAUAGCCCAGGGAAACUAGUAAGUGGAUCCAUCCUUGUAGUUCUGGUUCCUUUUGCUUUAGAUCAAUACCCUUAACAAAAAAAAUUUGAGCAUUAUUGUUUGUAACAUAUGAAAUUUCCAUUCCUGAAAUUAUGCCUUUAGGUGAUGAUAUGCCAUCUUCUUCUACUGAUUUUAGUUCUUGCAAAAUGCUAGGAUUAGGUUGUGUGGGUUUUGAUUAUUUUUGCCUGCUCAUUUGUUUUAAGUUGCUUCUAAGUUCAUUAUAGUCGUGGGGUUUUUCUCCUUGGUUGAUUAGGCUGGUUGGGAGAUUGGGUGCUGAGGUUGUGCCACUGCCAUGCGUAUGUGGAUCCUGACAGCUGCUGGGUAGCCAUGUUGGAUUUAGCCUCCACGCAGUUGCAUAGCUUGGGUGUCUACGGAAUAGGUUUUGCUCCUGGGAAAUUUGGACAGGUCCGAGCUUGUGGUCUUGGCUCAUGAUCCGGAGCUUGGGCCUUUGGGUUUAUAGUGCAGUAGUCAACCAAACCGCUGUUUGUUCUACAUAGUAACAAUAACAAUGAUGGUGGUGUUGUUGACGCUGUGCUUUACUACAAUUGAGUAAGGCUCCCAACUGAGCAUGCUCAUCAACUCUUCUGGGAGCUCUGUGCUCUUGUGUCAUGCAAGGCAGUAUCCGCUGUUUUUACUGAGUCUAUUUUUUAAUUUCCUUUUAGAUUAAAUUUGCAUCCAUCCAUCUCCUUUUACUGAGUCCAUUCUUCUGCAUGCUAGUUAGCUUUUUUCUGUGUUAGCUUUUUUCUGUAUGGUUGUUGCCUUUUUCUCUGCAUGGAAGAUAGUUUUUAUCUUCAAGUCAUCAAACUGGUUGCAUGCAUGUUCAUCAUUAGCAUUUUAAUAAAUUUCAAUAGGCAUUUUAAUACUAUCCGACUAGUAUUUAAAAUGUUCACAUGAAGCAGUUUAGAAAAGUUCUCGCUUUUUGCCGAUUAGUGCAUAAGCAUUGCAUGCAACUUAUGCCAAAUCAACUAGCAUUCUGGUAGAACUUAUAAGCAUUUAUAGGUAGUAAUUAGGCAACAAUAUUUGUUAUAGAUGGGCAAUAAUAUGGUUCCCAAUAAACAUUUUUCUCAAAUCAACUCAACAAAAAUAUCAACACUAGGUAAGCACUUUAGGCAAAUUAUAUGUAGGAAUUAGGCAAUAAUAUUAUUAUAGAUGGGCAAUAAUAUUGUUCCAAUAAGCAUUCCCCCCAGUUCAUUGUUUGUGUCUGGUUUGCUGUUUAGUUGUACAAAUAGGCAUGAACAAGCUCACAAGUCACACAAAGGCUUGAAUUGGGGGAUUGGCUGUUUAUUAAUACUGAUUCAAUUUCUUGUUUUGCUGGUUAGCUCAUCAUCAAUUUAGGCGAUUUUGCUGGUUAUUAAUACUAAUUCAAUUCCUUUGUUUUGCUGAUUAGUUGUCCUCAUUAAUUUUGGCAAUUUGCUGGGUUAUUUGUACUGAUUCAAUUCCUUGUUUUGGUGCUGUAGCAGGCUCACAAAUCUAAUGAUGGUGUCGGUCAAUAUUUUUUUGGUGCUAGAGAAUGAGGCCUGAAGAUUUAUUGUGUUUGAAUGUUUGGAUGGGUGAAAAUUGCCUUUGUAUAUGCUUUAAUUUUCUUAGAGUUCUUCAUAAAUUUGCUUAAUUGGUCUCAAAAGGUUGCUUCAUGUAACCAUUGAGUUGAAUGGCAGUAUUGGUGAAGUAGAAAUAAUGUAACGUGAGCAGAUUAGGAGGGGUAGUGGUGGUUGUAAUUCUAGUAGAUUUUUUUUGUGAUACUACCUUUUUUUAUAUACUUUUUGAUGUACGACUCAGUGACUUCCAAAUAUGGAAAGUAGUUUUUUUAUUCUA